CGUAGUUGCACAGGUCGGUCUCGUCCUGGCUGCCCACGUCGAUGGCGAUGACGGUCUUGGCGCCCAUGUUGCGCGCGAUGUCGGCUGCGGGGACAGACGGACACGGGGACGGUGGGAGAUCAGCGGGGACAGACGGACACGGGGAUGGAGAGCGGUCAGCGGGGACGGACGGACACUGGGACGGCAGGAGGUCAGCGGGGACAGAGGGACACGGGGACAGACAGACACGGGGACAGCAGGAGGUCAGCGGGGACAGACGGACACGGGGACAGACGGACACGGGGACGGCGGGAGGUCAGAGGGGACAGACGGACACGGGGACAGAGGGAGGUCAGCGGGGACAGACGGACACAGGGAUGGAGAGCAGGUGGAGGUGUCCUCCAGGAGGGGUCAGAGGGGGUGGACGGGGGGACACGGCUGGGGACACCCCCUGGGGCUGGAGGAGGAUGGAGAUGGUCCUGGGGGACACCAUGGGGUGAUGAUGAUGAUGAAAUGGAUGAAGAUGUUCCUGGUGGACAUCAAGGGAGAAGGAUGAUGAUGAUGAUGAUGAUGAUGAUGAUGAUGAUCCUCAUGAUGAUGAUGAUGAUGAAGGUCAUUUCCACAGGGAGGAGGAUGGAGAUGGUCCUGGGGGACACCAUGGGGUGAUGAAGGUGAUGAUGAUGAAAUGGAUGAAGAUGUUCCUGGUGGACAUCAAGGGAGAAGGAUGAUGAUGAUGAUGAUGAUGAUGAUGAUGAUGAUGAUGAUCCUCAUGAUGAUGAUGAUGAUGAAGGUCAUUUCCACAGGGAGGAGGAUGGAGAUGGUCCUGGGGGACACCAUGGGGUGAUGAAGGUGAUGAAAUGGAUGAAGAUGUUCCUGGUGGACAUCAAGGGAGAAGGAUGAUGAUGAUGAUGAUGAUCCUCAUGAUGAUGAUGAUGAUGAAGGUCAUUUCCACAGGGAGGAGGAUGGAGAUGGUCCUGGGGGGCACCAUGGGGUGAUGAAGGUGAUGAUGAUAAAAUGGAUGAAGAUGUUCCUGGUGGACAUCAAGGGAGGAGGAGGAGGAUGAUGAUGAUGAUGAUCCUCAUGAUGAUGAUGAUGGUGAAGGCCAUUUGCACAGGGAAGAGGAUGGAGAUGGUCACCGAGGACACCCAGGGAUGGCGCAGGACGGAGACCGAGGCAGGUGAAGGACGGAAAUCACCAGGGAAAGCACCCGGGACCAGCAGCAGGUGACACCAGGAGGUGACACCAGGAGGUGACACCAGGAGGUGAC